GCCUGGGUGGCUCAGUCGGUUAAGCAUCUGACUUCAGUUCAGGUCAUGAUCUCACGGUUUGUGGGUUUGAGCCCCGCAUCGGGCU
rnacentral:tRNA from 1 species